UUAGCUCAGUUGGUAGAGCAGUUGACUUUUAAUCAAUUGGUCGCAGGUUCGAAUCCUGCACGACCCACCA
rnacentral:tRNA from 38 species